CCUACGGGGGGCAGCAGUGGGGAAUAUUGCGCAAUGGGCGAAAGCCUGACGCAGCGACGCCGCGUGAGGGAUGAAGGUCUUCGGAUCGUAAACCUCUGUCAGCAGGGAAGAACGGUCACUGUGCUAAUCAGCAGUGAAUUGACGGUACCUGCAAAGGAAGCACCGGCUAACUCCGUGCCAGCAGCCGCGGUAAUACGGGGGGUGCGAGCGUUAAUCGGAAUUACUGGGCGUAAAGCGCUCGUAGGCGGUAUGUCAAGUCAAGGGUGAAAUCCCCGCGCUCAACGUGGGAACUGCCUUUGAAACUGGCAGACUGGAGUGUGUGAGAGGAUAGUGGAAUUCCAGGUGUAGGAGUGAAAUCCGUAGAUAUCUGGAGGAACAUCAGUGGCGAAGGCGACUAUCUGGCACAUAACUGACGCUGAGGAGCGAAAGCGUGGGUAGCAAACAGGAUUAGAUACCCGGGUAGUC
rnacentral:rRNA from 1 species